rnacentral:rRNA from 1 species
UAAUACGAAGGGGGCUAGCGUUGCUCGGAAUUACUGGGCGUAAAGGGCGCGUAGGCGGCGAUCUCAGUCAGGCGUGAAAGCCCCGGGCUCAACCUGGGAACUGCGCUUGAGACGGGAUUGCUUGAGGGCGAGAGAGGGUGGUGGAAUUCCCAGUGUAGAGGUGAAAUUCGUAGAUAUUGGGAAGAACACCGGUGGCGAAGGCGGCCACCUGGCUCGCACCUGACGCUGAGGCGCGAAAGCGUGGGGAGCAAACAGGAUUAGAUACCCUGGUAGUCCACGCUGUAAACGAUGUGCGCUGGAUGUUGGGUGACCUAGUCACUCAGUGUCGUAGCCAACGCGGUAAGCGCACCGCCUGGGGAGUACGGCCGCAAGGUUGAAACUUAAAUGAAUUGACGG